UGGGAAACUGGGUCUAAUACCGGAUAGGAGCCAUUUUUAGUGUGAUGGUUGGAAAGUUUUUUCGGUGUAGGAUGAGCUCGCGGCCUAUCAGCUUGUUGGUGGGGUAAUGGCCUACCAAGGCGGCGACGGGUAGCCGGCCUGAGAGGGUGGACGGCCACAUUGGGACUGAGAUACGGCCCAG
rnacentral:rRNA from 1 species